rnacentral:rRNA from 1 species
GACGAACGCUGGCGGCGUGCCUAAUACAUGCAAGUCGAGCGAAUCAAUAGGAGCUUGCUCCUGUUGGUUAGCGGCGGACGGGUGAGUAACACGUGGGCAACCUGCCUGUAAGACUGGGAUAACACCGGGAAACCGGUGCUAAUACCGGAUAAUCUUUUUCCUCUCAUAAGGAAAAACUGAAAGUCGGUUUCGGCUGACACUUACAGAUGGGCCCGCGGCGCAUUAGCUAGUUGGUGAGGUAACGGCUCACCAAGGCGACGAUGCGUAGCCGACCUGAGAGGGUGAUCGGCCACACUGGGACUGAGACACGGCCCAGACUCCUACGGGAGGCAGCAGUAGGGAAUCUUCCACAAUGGACGAAAGUCUGAUGGAGCAACGCCGCGUGAGCGAUGAAGGCCUUCGGGUCGUAAAGCUCUGUUGUUAGGGAAGAACAAGUACCGGAGUAACUGCCGGUACCUUGACGGUACCUAACCAGAAAGCCACGGCUAACUACGUGCCAGCCGCCGCAGUAAAAC